AGAUGAUAUAAAGAUGAUUGGAGGGAC
rnacentral:piRNA from 1 species